rnacentral:rRNA from 1 species
CUAAAGGUAUUUCAUACAUGUUUGAAAUAUGCCUAAGGAUGGGGCUGCGGCCGAUCAGGCUGUUGGUGAGGUAAUGGCUCACCAAACCUUUGACCGGUACGGGCCAUGAGAGUGGUAGCCCGGAGAUGGACACCGAGACAAGGGUCCAGGCCCUAAGGGGCGCAGCAACCGCGAAACCUCCACAAUGCACUCACGUGCGAUGGGGCUAUCUCGAGUGCCACCUGAUGAAGGUGGCUUUUCCUUGGUCCUCAAAGCCUUGGGAAUAAGAGGGGGGCAAGACUGGUGUCAGCCGCCGCGGUAGCACCAGCCCCUCGAGUGGUGGGGAUGAUUAUUUGGCCUAAAGCGUCCGUAGCCGGCCGAGCAAGUCUUCCGUUAAAUCCAGCGUCUCAAGCGUUGGACCGCGGGAGAUACUACACGGCUAGAGAGUGGGAGAGGUCAGCGGUAUUCUGGGGGUAGGGGCGAAAUCCUUUGAUCCCCGGAGGACCACCAGUGGCGAAGGCUGCUGACUAGAACACGUCUGACGGUCAGGGACGAAAGCUGGGGUAGCGAACCGGAUUAGAUACCCGGGUAGUCCCAGCCGUAAACGAUGCAUGCUAGGUGUUGGGUUGGUCACGAGCCACCCCGGUGCCGCAGGGAAGCCGUUAAGCAUGCCGCCUGGGAAGUACGAUCGCAAGAUUGAAACUUAAAGGAAUUGGCGGGGGAGCACCACCAGGCGUUAAGCCUGCGGUUUAAUGGAGUCAACGCCGGGAACCUUACCGGGAGCGACAGCAGAAUGAAGGCCAGAUUGAAGAUCUUGCCAGACGAGCUGAGAGGAGGUGCAUGGCCGUCGCCAGUUCGUGCCGUGAGGUGUUCUCUUAAGUGAGAUAACGAACGAGACCCGUGCCACAUGUUGCCACCAGUAUCUAAAGGAUAGCUGAGCACUCCUGUGGGACCGCAGCCGAUAAGGCUGAGGAAGGUACGGGCAACGGCAGGUCAGUAUGCCCCGAAUCUCCCGGGCCACACGCGGGCUGCAAUGGUACAGACAGAGGGCUGCCACCCCGAAAGGGGGAGCCAAUCCCUAAACUGUACCUCAGUUGGGAUCGAGGGUUGCAACCCACCCUCGUGAACAUGGAAUGCCUAGUAACCGCCAGUCAUCAUCCGGCGGUGAAUACGUCCCUGCUCCUUGCACACACUGCCCGUCGAACCACCCGAAUGAGGUUUGGGUGAGGAAUGGUCGAAUGUUGGCCGUUUCGAACCUGGGCCUCGUAAGGAGGGUUAAGUCGUAACAAGGUG